CUUUAUCUUGCUUGUUAUGUAUGUUAUAUGGUAAAGGGGUUAAGCAGUUCUGUUACACCGUAAGAGCUGUUAAAGUCAGAAGAGAUAUAUGUUGAAAUAAAGCUAGAAAAUGCAUGUGAAUGGAUGUUGUGUGUAAAUAGAAAAUGAAAGGUUAGGAGUGCCAGCCUAGGAGUUACCACUUCGGUAUCGAUUGGCUGACGAAUGCGUUAAGUGGAAAUAACCAGAUGAUCCCCAGAGGGCAGACUGAAAUCCAUCCAACAGCCUCAAGGAUGGGAGAACGGAAGAACAAGAUAACAUCUGGCAGCACGGAGCCGUCAGGGAUGUGUCAUCUGCUGAUUGAUUCAGCAACAGCAUGAUGAAGCCACCUCCAUAGACUGGCAUAGGAAUAAACUCCUAUAAAAACAGACCCUAAAGACUAAGAACUUUGAGCCUGGUUCUACAACCACCCUCCAGGAGCAUCAGAUGCACAUCUGACAAAGACUUGGCUCCACCCUCAUGGCAAGGUUACCUGGCCCGUAACUUGGCAUGAGCAACCUCUAGGCUGACCCAGUAGUUCUAGUGACCUGGCCAGAGGGCCAAAUCAUGAAGAGGGACAAACCUGAGUCCAGAGAGAGAUCACAUGGCAAGCAAUCAAAGGAAAAGGCCUCAGACUGGUUGAGAGCUAAUCCCCAGAAGAUCCACAAGGAGUCAUCACAGCAAACAACAAGGAAGCAAAGAAAUUUAUGGGGGACACGCAACCCUUCCCCGGCAGCCCUGGUGCAUCUAUGCGAGGACCUGGAGCAGACAGAAGAGAUAUGAAUAACUGCGGAGUGGGGAGAAGAGGUGGGCGUGCAUUUGUGGGAAGAUGUCAAUCACUGCUAGGGGGCGGGGCUUGGCAGGCAUGUGUGUGAACGAGAGAGAGAGACAGACUCUGUCCCGCUCACAUGCCUGGUGUGGAGGGAUAAGACUUCCUGUUGUUUGGAGGUAGGCAUGAGGCAGACUCUGUCCCCUGAGGCAGAGCAGAAAUGCAGCAGCCUUCCUGCAUAGUUGUUAAUAUUCCUAUUCUUAGUUAAUUGUUUCAGUUCUUAGACUCUGUCUACACUACAGACCUUACAGCGGAACAGCUGUACUGCGGUAGCUGGGCCACAGUGAGGUCUCCUCUGUAGCCACUCUAUGCUGGCAGGCGAGAAGUCUCCCACCAGCAUAAUUAAACCACCCUGAAUGAGUGGCGGUAGUACAUCUCCCAUUGACAUAGCACUGUCCACACUGGUGCUUUUUUCGGUGAAACUUCUGUCAGACAGCGGUGUCUUUGUUUCACACCCCUGACUGACAAAAGUUUUGCCGACAAAAGUGCUAGUGUAGACAAAACCCUAGUAAGUAUCCCUAGGAGCAUAAAAUACGUGUAAAAGUUUUAAGGCUCCUUUACAUUGCCAGAGUGGUAGAAAGGAGCCUUAUUGUAAAUGACAGUAAGGGAACCCUCAGCUAGAAAGAUCUAUGCACUUUCUCCCUUUUUUCCUGUGCCAGAUUGGCACAAUUCGGUUAGAUUACAGCUCAGGAUCUAUUUUACUUACACAUUUUUUUUUUAAAAAAAGGACCAUGAGGGCAAACAAAUCAUUUAUAAAACAGUCAAUAAAAUGUCAGGACAAUCAGAACCAAACACUUCCCAAAGUAGCUGGCCAGGAUUAUAACUGGAAUGCAGGGUGUUGGUUAUUAAGGAUUUGUAACUUAACUUUCAUGUUUUUAGGAAAUGCUGAAUAGUUUUGGUGACUUUUUUAUAUUGUAUUUUGAAUAAAUUACUAGGGCUGUCAAGCAAUUAAAAUUGUGAUUAAUCACACAAUUAAAAAUAACGAUUUAUCACGAUCAAUCAUGCUGUUAAUAACAGAAUACCAUUUAUUACAAAUAUUUGCACUGUAAAUAACAAAAUAAAUAGUUUUUUUUUUCAGUUCACCUAAUACAAGUACUGUAGUGCAAUCUCUUCUACAUUUAUAAGUUCAACUUCCAUGAUAAAUUAUGUACAAAAAACCUGCAUUCAAAAAUAAACCAGUGUAAAAC